GAAAAAAUCUCUCUCUCGUCUUCUCCUCGAGUGGCGGCUAGGGUUCCGCCUCCCUCCCACCAGCCGCCGCCUCUUCCGCCACACUCGUCCCCUCCUCGCUAUGUGUGCCGCCUCCACCCACCAUCCCUCGCCUUCCCCCUCUGGUCUCGUCCUUCGAUGGCAGAAAACUGACACCCUGAGGAGGUCGUUCCCGGCGCCCGCAUCCUCGUCGUCGACCUUGCCCAAACGGCAGGUCGCUGCUGCUGGCCGAGGUCGCCCAGGUCAUCACCGCCCCCGCCGGCCUGCAGCUCAUCCUACCCAAGGGCAGGGUAUGUACAGUCGCUUGCUCCCCCUUCCUCCCCCUGUCGAUCUCCAGAGGUGUUGAUUUGUUGGGUUGUUCGAUUCAGUGCUUCGAGCGAGGAUGACUGUGAGUGGUUGGGCAUGGGAUAGCCUAGCGCCCGUAGAUACAUGAUAGAUUUGUGCUUCACUAAUUGUUACACAUGCAGCUAUCCAAUUACCCCAAGCGGAAUUAAAUUACUUGUAGAAUGAUAGCCGUAAUGUUAUAGUGUUGGUCCCAGUAUCCGGCUAUCCUUUGAUAAAAACAAUUUGUUGCAAAAUUGCAAAAAUAAGUAUGUGCCUUAUUUUCUCAGAUGAAUGCAAGGCGGCUUGCAUAGUUCUCAGACUGGCAUAUGUGGAAUGUGCUAUGUGCCCAACAUCUCUAUCUACUCCACCGUGAUCUAACUCACAUGUCAAAGAAUCACAUAAUACAUUUUGCAUGAAGGAGGUGCAAGAACCUACUUAUCUUGCAAUAGAAAGUACUGCAAGACAUGUUUAUCCAGAGAAUAUUGUGUUGGAUGCUUGCUUCAAAUUGGCUAAUCUAACUCUUCUGAUAGAUAAUAUAGAGGCCAAUCAGUAGUGUUAUGUAUUUCGACCAAUGUCAGCUAAUUUCCAGCUGUAAACAAGCAGGUAUAAUUUAAUAUUCAUUUUCAUGGACUUGAAUCUGAAUAUAUUUUGGUUUAGUACAGUAUCUAAACUAUUACUUUUGGGGUCUGCUAUGAGGCAUUGGGUUUAAAUACUUUCUUAAGAGUUGUGUGAAAUAGCAUUUAUUCCAAGAAAUUGCAAUGUAUAUAGUGCUACUUUAUUUUAUAUUUUUAUUUUAAAAAUUGUUCCUCGACACUUCAAACUCAGAAUUUUUACAAUUAACUCUUAAAUCGGAAAUUAGCUGCCAUGGCCUGAAUUAUCAUGGAUCGAGUGUGUUUUGUGUAAGAUUUUUCUAUUGACAAUCCUUUUAUAUGUACACCUUCUAGGAAGUAUGUGCAUUCCUUCUUGCAGACAGAUAUGUUUUCUCGGGUUGUUGAAUGCUGGAAACGAGGAUUAUCAGUCACAAAAUACAUAACAGACCUUCGGAUCCAUGGAUGUAGCCAGCAAGGGCGCCAUCAACCUGGGCUGCCUUAGAGCUUAGGCAACCAUGCUGUAUUUGAUGUGAACAGUUCAUAUCAAUAGCUCGAUUAACUUGUGUAUGUCUCAUGUGUGGUUGAAUACUAAUUCUAACCCUGUUGCACUCUGUGCUGCCAUUUGAUCUAAAAAACUGAACCAUGAAAGGUUCACUGUUAAAUCAGUAUGCGACAUGGUGACGGUUGCAAAAUACUGGAAUGUCACAAUCAUCGUGUCGUACAUGGAUAAAACUUCAUUUUGGGUUGCCCAGUGAGUUCCAAGAUAUAUUUGAUGUAGACUACUUCAUAGCAUCAUUGAGAGAUGAGGUCCGGAUACUGCAAGAGCUGCCUCCAAGGCUGAAAAGGAGAGUUGAAUAGGGAUAUCCUUGCUCCUUGCCGCCCUUCAGUUGGUCUGAUACAUCCUAUUACCAUAAUCAGGUUUCUUUGCAUCUCUCCAUUUCUCGUGAUGUAUCUAAAUCAUAUGCGUACCCAAAUAAAUAUUGUAAGUAGUAAUUUAUGGGAAAACAUAUUUUACCAAUGAUAAAGAAGUGCAUGGUCCUUCAUAUGAAUAAAUCACGUGCACGGCUUGAAAAUAAUGGGCUACCCAUGGAGAUUCAGAAACCGAGGUGCCAUUUCAGUUUUCAUGCACUUGGAUUUACCCCCUAAAACAGAAGAGUUGGGCAGGUGUGUGGUUCAAAUUCUUCGUCGGAAUGGACCCUUUUGUGGUUCUCCACUUGUGGUAUAAGAUGGACAUACUUGCCUUCUCUGGGUGUACACAUGGUAGCAGGAAAGAUGAGGCUGAGGAGGGUUAGAAGGAUGAGAUAUUGCAGUUCUAGCAAGUGGAUCUGCACAAACAAGUAUGUGUUUGACUGUGCAGGUGAUAAGGGAGCUGAAGCUGCUGGACGGCGUCGGUCUUGCAGAGGUCAUCACAAUCCUUGUUCCAAAUAGGUCCGUCGGACUUCGCAUCCCUUGCCUUGCUGCACUCUCCUGGAAGGUAAUGUUUGUCACUUAUUGUGUGUGUGUGUGUGUGUGUAGGAUACGUCGUGAUGAAAAUGAUAUUCUUAAACAACCCUUCAUGUUUGGGCACAAGUUGACUCUUCCCACCGUGUAUAGAGAUGAUUGAAUUCUCAAGUCCCGUCAAUUGCUUUGCCAUGUUUUGUAAGAGAAAAUGUAUGUGUUGAUUACUACUGUGUUUUUGGUUAGUUGUUGAACCUGGCAAUGUGUGUGUAUUACUUGACACUGUACAUUUGAUGCUUCAUGGUGUUCCAAUACGGCCCCAUCUAGCUAAGCUUGUUGGUAGUAUUGGACAAAAGCAAUAGAUAUUUCGACUUUGACAAAUUAGGAUAUGUCUGUUUCAAGCGUGUUGUGCUUAUGUUUAAUUUACUCUUGUGCGUGAGGUUUUCUCAUUGUCCCUAGCUCUGUACAUUGUUCCUGUUGUUUAGUAAAGCUUUAUAAUGAUGCAUUGGGUUUAGAACCACAACCACAAUCUCUUCCUAUUUUUUAUCAUCUUGUUUAGAACCACAACCUACGAUCUCUUCCUAUUUUUUAUCAUCUUCUUGUUUAGUACCACAACAGAUAAGCAUCACUUGAGACUCCUUCUCUAAACAAGUAAGCAUCAUGGGCAGUGGGUAUGAGGAGGACAUUGGAAAAAUGAUAUUUGGGGUGGUGAUUUCCCCAAAUGCUGCUUGGUUAGAUGAUAUAUCUCCUGAUAAUGCAGUGUGUUUUCAUUUUUGUGAGUUUGACCUUUUUUAGAAAGAUUUUCAAUUGCAGGCCUGUCUCUUAUGGAUGGAUGGUCACAUGGGAGUAAUCAGUUGACUAACUAUGAAGAUUGCUAGGAUUGACAAAAACGCAAAAAUGAUCCAGUCGGUGGAACUAUUAUAAAACUCCUGAAGGAGGUAACCCUUUACAAAAGGGUGCAAGUGUUACUGUCUCCUGCUAUAUUUGACAGUAAAAAAACCAGUCAACAAGUAGUCAAGUAUUCUUGAUUGAAAGUCUGCAAGUAAUCAAGUGGUCUUACGGAAGGCCAUUCUAGAAGAUCUUUGCUUGUUGUAGCUAUACAAUUUACCUCAAUUUUUUGCCAGUUGCUAGCACCGUAUUUUAAUCUUUGUGGCUUUGGCGAGGAUUUUUCUGUCCGCUCUUUUUCUUGUACCAAAUUAACUCCUUUGACUCUAAUGCAAUUAAGC
rnacentral:rRNA from 1 species